UACGAAGGGAGCUAGCGUUGUUCGGAAUCACUGGGCGUAAAGCGCACGUAGGCGGAUGUGUCAGUCAGGGGUGAAAUCCCGGAGUUCAACUUCGGAACUGCCUUUGAUACAGCACGUCUUGAGUCCGAUAGAGGUGGGUGGAAUUCCUAGUGUAGAGGUGAAAUUCGUAGAUAUUAGGAAGAACACCGGUGGCGAGGGCGGCCCACUGGAUCGGUACUGACGCUGAGGUGCGAAAGCGUGGGGAGCAAACAGG
rnacentral:rRNA from 1 species